rnacentral:tRNA from 1 species
GCCAGCAUGGUGUAGUGGUUUCCGCGUUGGACUGUGACUCUGGAGACCAGGGUUUGAUUCCCCACUCAGCCA